AGCCCAUGCCCUGGUUUCCAGCUCAGAUCACUGAACCGAAAAUGUGCCUGUCCACGGAGACUUUCACCUUAGACGGCAGUCAGAUGCCUUCUUGUCUUUUACAUCUCUCCUCUGCUCUGAUACUUCGCCCUUGAAAGCAGGCUUCUGAGUGGCUCGGUAGUUGAAGCUGAUGGACUGCAAAAACAAUACGAGGUCUUCAGGGAGCACCCUUCUGAACUCUUGCAAGUGAUUAUAAUGGUGGUGAUAAAACCAGUACUCACAUGUGCUUCACCCAUCAGUGUGAUCAUGAUGGUGACCUGUGAGCAGAGCCUGGAUGAAGAGUCUCUGAACCUGAGAAAGAAAUGAGCUGUGCUCUUACCCUUGGAACUCAGCCACUGGGCUCUGAAAAAGUCUGAGCCAGCCCAUGUGGAGAGGCCCUUGUGAAGAGGACCUGAGACCCUCCAGCCAGCUCUCAGCAUCAACUUCCAGACUGAUUUGAAAGAGCUCAACUGGAAUUCCAUCACCUCCACUAGCUUUGUUCGUAGCGAUGCUUCCUAAGACCCACUUGACUUCACAUUCUAGGAUGUCUGGCUCUAGGUGAGUGGAUCACACCAUUGUGAUUAUCUGGGUCAUGAAGAUCUUUUUUGUACAGUUUUUCUGUAUAUUCUUGUCACCUGUUCCUAAUAUCUUCUGCUUCUGUUAGGUCCAUCCCAUUUCUGUCCUUUAUUGAGCCCAUCUUUGCAUGAAAUGUUCC
ensembl:lncRNA